rnacentral:rRNA from 1 species
AACGAACGCUGGCGGCAUGCCUAACACAUGCCAGUCGAACGAGACCUUCGGGUCUAGUGGCGCACGGGUGCGUAACGCGUGGGAACCUGCCCUUAGGUUCGGAAUAACUCCCCGAAAGGGGUGCUAAUACCGGAUAAUGUCUUCGGACCAAAGAUUUAUCGCCUUUGGAUGGGCCCGCGUUGGAUUAGCUAGUUGGUAGGGUAAAAGCCUACCAAGGCGACGAUCCACAGCUGGUCUGAGAGGAUGAUCAGCCACACUGGGACUGAGACACGGCCCAGACUACUACGGGAGGCAGCAGUGGGGAAUAUUGGACAAUGGGCGAAAGCCUGAUCCAGCAAUGCCGCGUGAGUGAUGAAGGCCUUAGGGUUGUAAAGCUCUUUUACCCGGGAUGAUAAUGACAGUACCGGGAGAAUAAGCUCCGGCUAACUCCGUG